CCUCCGGGUGGCAGCAGUGAGGAAUAUUGGUCAAUGGACGCAAGUCUGAACCAGCCAUGCCGCGUGCAGGAAGACGGCUCUAUGAGUUGUAAACUGCUUUUGUACGAGGGUAAACGCAGAUACGCGUAUCUGUCUGAAAGUAUCGUACGAAUAAGGAUCGGCUAACUCCGUGCCAGCAGCCGCGGUAAUACGGAGGAUUCAAGCGUUAUCCGGAUUUAUUGGGUUUAAAGGGUGCGUAGGCGGUCGGAUAAGUUAGAGGUGAAAUCCCGAGGCUCAACUUCGGAAUUGCCUCUGAUACUGUUCGGCUAGAGAGUAGUUGAGGUAGGCGGAAUUCGUGGUGUAGCGGUGAAAUGCUUAGAUAUCACGAAGAACCCCGAUUGCGAAGGCAGCAUGCCGGCUUCCUACUGACGCUGAAGCACGAAAGCGUGGGGAUCGAACAGGAUUAGAUACCCCAGUAGUC
rnacentral:rRNA from 1 species